UACGUAGGCGGCUUGCCAAGUUGGGUGUGAAAGCCCGGGGCUCAACCCCGGAACUGCAUUCAAAACUGGCUGGCUAGAGAUCGGAAGAGGUAAGUGGAAUUCCCAGUGUAGAGGUGAAAUUCGUAGAUAUUGGGAAGAACACCGGUGGCGAAGGCGACUUACUGGUCCGAUACUGACGCUGAGGUACGAAAGCGUGGGGAGCAAACA
rnacentral:rRNA from 1 species